GGCGAGAGCGGGUCGCCGC
rnacentral:snRNA from 1 species